rnacentral:lncRNA from 1 species
GGGGCUUCAGGUCAACCGAGAGAAGAGCAAGCUCUCCCCUGCGCAGAGAAUCUGUUAUCUCGGUAUGGAGUUAGACUCGGUCUCACCAGCGAGCGUGCCCAGUCAGUGUUGAACUGCCUGAGUUCCUUUAGAGGCAGGACAGUGGUACCACUGAAACACUUUCAGAGGCUCCUGGGGCAUAUGGCAUCCGCAGCUGCAGUCACGCUGCUCGGAUUGCUUCAUAUGAGGCCACUUCAGCACUGGUUGCACUCCCGAAUCCCGAGAUGGGCAUGGCGCCGCGGUACACAUCGUAGUCACCAUCACGAGAUGGGCAUGGCGCCGCGGUAUGCAUCGUGUCACCAUCACACCGAUGUGUCGCCGCCUAUUCAGUCGCUGGUCGGACCUUGCCUUUCUACGGGCCGGCGUGCCCCUAGAACAAGUGUCCCGGCAUGUUGUUGUCACAACAGAUGCCUCCAACACGGGCUGGGGCGCGACAUGCAACGGGCAGGCAGCUUCAGGGUCCUAGACAGGACAUCGACUGCUUUGGCACAUCAACUGUCUGGAGUUGCUGGCAGUGCAUCUAGCUUUACGGCGGUUUCGGCCGCUGUUGCUAGACAAGCACGUGUUGGUCCGCACGGACAACACUGCGGCUGUUUCGUACAUCAACCGACAGGGCAUUCUAUGAUCACGUCGCAUGUCUCAACUCGCCCGCCAUCUCCUCCUCUGGAGUCAGACGCGGCUCAAGUCGCUGCGCCCUGGGGAAUGGCGACUCCAUCCCCAGACGGUCCAGCUGAUCUGGAGUCGAUUCGGGGAAGCCCAGGUAGACGUGUUUGCUUCCCACGAGUCCUCCCACUGCCAGCUGUACUAUUCCCUGUCCCAGGCCCCCCUGGGCACGGAUGCACUGGCACACAGCUGGCCUCGGGCUCUACGCAAGUAUGCGUUUCCCCCAGUGAGCCUGCUCUCACAGACACUGUGCAAGGUCAGGGAGGACGAGGACUGUUUUUUUGCGCCUUACCGGCCCACCCGGACCUGGUUUUCGGAACUCAUGCUCCUCGUGACAGCCCCUCCCUGGCGCAUCCCCCUGAGGAGGGACCUCCUCUCUCAGGGGCUGGGCACCAUUUGGCACCCGCGUCCAGAUCUCUGGAACCUCCAUGUGUGGCUUCUGGACGGGACGCGGCAGACCUAAGUGAUCUGCCACCGGCGGUGGUGGACACUAUCACUCAGGCUAGAGCCCCCUCUACUAGGCAGGCCUAUGCUCUGAAGUGGAGUCUGUUCACGAAUUGGUGUUCUUCUCACCGAGAGGACCCCCGGAGAUGCUCGGUCAGAGUCGUGCUUUCUUUCCUGCAAGGAAGGUUGGAGCGUAGGCUGUCACCCUCCACCUUGAAAGUGUAUGUGGCUGCCAUUGCAGCCCAUCACGAUGCAGUGGACGGCCGGUCCCUGGGGAGGCAUGACCUGAUCGUUAGGUUCCUGAGGGGUGCCAGAAGGUUAAAUCCUCCUAGGACACCCCUGAUUCCCUCCUGGGACCUCUCUAUUGUUCUGGCUGGACUUCAGAGGGGUCCCUUUGAGCCGCUAGACUCAGUCGAGCUUAAGUUCCUGUCUCUCAAGACAGCGCUCCUGGUCGCGCUCACUUCCAUCAAGAGGGUCGGGGACCUCCAAGCAUUUUCGGUAAGUGAAGAGUGCCUUGUGUUCGGGCCGGCCUACUCUCACGUUGUCCUGAGACCCCG